AUGGUGCUGUUUUAAAAGCAAGGAUAAGCAGAAAGGGACAUGGAUUUUAGUUGAUGGAUGACUCACUCACUACAUUCAACUGAACUGAAUCUGCUCUAUACCAGCAAAGGGACAAAUUCAGAAAAUAAAUUGAAGAUGGCCAUGCUGUAACUUCUAAACAUGGUUUGCUUCUCAGAUUUACCUAAACUAAGAAAGGUUUGCUUUAAGAAAUAGUGCUCCCUUCAGAAUGGAAGAAUUUAUCUGCCUCUUAUUUGAUGUGGAUCAGAGCUAAGAUGGCUGACUAAAUAAACAUGGGGGACUGGAAUCUCCUUGGAGAUACUCUGGAGGAAGUUCACAUCCACUCCACCAUGAUUGGAAAGAUCUGGCUCACCAUCCUGUUCAUAUUUCGAAUGCUUGUUCUGGGUGUAGCAGCUGAAGAUGUCUGGAAUGAUGAGCAGUCUGGCUUCAUCUGCAAUACAGAACAACCAGGCUGCAGAAAUGUAUGCUACGACCAGGCCUUUCCUAUCUCCCUCAUUAGAUACUGGGUUCUGCAGGUGAUAUUUGUGUCUUCACCAUCCCUGGUCUACAUGGGCCAUGCAUUGUACCGACUGAGAGUUCUUGAGGAAGAGAGGCAAAGGAUGAAAGCUCAGUUAAGAGUAGAACUGGAGGAGGUAGAGUUUGAAAUGCCUAGGGAUCGGAGGAGAUUGGAGCAAGAGCUUUGUCAGCUGGAGAAAAGGAAACUAAAUAAAGCUCCACUCAGAGGAACCUUGCUUUGCACUUAUGUGAUACACAUUUUCACUCGCUCUGUGGUUGAAGUUGGAUUCAUGAUUGGACAGUACCUUUUAUAUGGAUUUCACUUAGAGCCGCUAUUUAAGUGCCAUGGCCACCCGUGUCCAAAUAUAAUCGACUGUUUUGUCUCAAGACCAACAGAAAAGACAAUAUUCCUAUUAUUUAUGCAAUCUAUAGCCACUAUUUCACUUUUCUUAAACAUUCUUGAAAUUUUCCACCUAGGUUUUAAAAAGAUUAAAAGAGGGCUUUGGGGAAAAUACAAGUUGAAGAAGGAACAUAAUGAAUUCCAUGCAAACAAGGCAAAACAAAAUGUAGCCAAAUACCAGAGCACAUCUGCAAAUUCACUGAAGCGACUCCCUUCUGCCCCUGAUUAUAAUCUGUUAGUGGAAAAGCAAACACACACUGCAGUGUACCCUAGUUUAAAUUCAUCUUCUGUAUUCCAGCCAAAUCCUGACAAUCAUAGUGUAAAUGAUGAGAAAUGCAUUUUGGAUGAACAGGAAACUGUACUUUCUAAUGAGAUUUCCACACUUAGUACUAGUUGUAGUCAUUUUCAACACAUCAGUUCAAACAAUAACAAAGACACUCAUAAAAUAUUUGGAAAAGAACUUAAUGGUAACCAGUUAAUGGAAAAAAGAGAAACUGAAGGCAAAGACAGCAAAAGGAACUACUACUCUAGAGGUCACCGUUCUAUUCCAGGUGUUGCUAUAGAUGGAGAGAACAACAUGAGGCAGUCACCCCAAACAGUUUUCUCCUUGCCAGCUAACUGCGAUUGGAAACCGCGGUGGCUUAGAGCUACAUGGGGUUCCUCUACAGAACAUGAAAACCGGGGGUCACCUCCUAAAGGUAACCUCAAGGGCCAGUUCAGAAAGGGCACAGUCAGAACCCUUCCUCCUUCACAAGGAGAUUCUCAAUCACUUGACAUUCCAAACACUGCUGAUUCUUUGGGAGGGCUGUCCUUUGAGCCAGGGUUGGUCAGAACCUGUAAUAAUCCUGUUUGUCCUCCAAAUCACGUAGUGUCCCUAACGAACAAUCUCAUUGGUAGGCGGGUUCCCACAGAUCUUCAGAUCUAAACAGCGGUUGGCUUUUAGACAUUAUAUAUAUUAUCAGAGAAGUAGCCUAGUGGUCGUGGGGCACAGAAAAAAUAGAUAGGGGCAGCUCUAAAGACCAGCUGUUAAGACAGACAACUGCAAACUCAUUUAAGCAAGAGAAAAACAGCUCUAAUUCGAGAUUGUGAAGCAACACUUCUAAAUUCAAAGACAUAGAGUUGUCAAAUCAGGAUUUUUUUUUUUUUAAAUGAUAUCCUUUCGAAUGUAACUGAUUUUGGGAAAAUCACAUGUUCAGAAUUGAGGCUAAAUGGUUUGAUCAGGUUUUCUCUUUGAAGAGACCACAGCCUUAGGAAAUGGUUCUUGAUCUAUACAAUUCCACCUUGGACACUGGGUUAAUUCUGUUUGCCCCUGGAACACAAUCACGUAAGUUUCCUUCUAGACUGGCAUCCUGAUGUGUCUUGAGUAUAAUCACAUGUUGCUACCUAGUAAAUAAAAUCUUAAGAAGAUCCGUGGCUUUCCUUCACCAGUUCAUAGCAUCGUGAUUCAUUGCCCGGAUUGGACUCGACUCUACUCACUGGACAUCUAACCACUCCACUUAAUUAACAAUACCCACCCUACAGGGGUGUUGUAAGGAUUAAAAUUUAAAAUACCCGUGUUUUCUACAGUGCCUGGCUCAAAAGCUACUGCAAGCUCGUUACUGCUCAUCCUCCAGAGGCCCACAUCAAGUCAGCCACGACUCAAGGAGACUCCAAAGAUAAAAGCUGAAGCCAAAAUAUAUGAUUCUAAACACCCUCCUCGGCUACUGCAAAGCACUGUGAGCACUUUCUCAGGACGAGAGCCAAGAAGCCCAGCACCUAUGGGUCACCACAGUUUCCGAGGUCCCAGAUGAAAAAGAUGCGCUCGCUACCACCGUGCGGCGGUCCUUUCUCUCGCAAUAGUCUCAAUGCUCCCGGGCCCUGCCUCCGGACGCCAGGACAGAGGCCGCCGACUCGAAGCGUGAGCAGUUCCGGAGGUACUUGGAGAAGUCGGGGGUGCUGGACACGCUGACCAAGGUGUUGGUAGCCUUAUAUGAAGAACCAGAGAAACCUAACAGUGCUUUGGAUUUUUUAAAGCAUCACUUAGGAGCUGCUACUCCAGAAAAUCCAGAAAUAGAGCUGCUUCGCCUAGAACUGGCCGAAAUGAAAGAGAAGUAUGAAGCUAUUGUAGAAGAAAAUAAAAAACUGAAAGCAAAGCUUGCUCAGUAUGAACCACCUCAGGAGGAGAAGCGUGCUGAAUAGGAUUCUUCUCAGUUUGAAAGACAAUGAAAAAUGGUUUUGUAUGACUUGAAUAGUUUGUAUAGUAUAUAAUCUUUUCUGAACAGAUGCUAUAGAACUCUUUUAAUAUGUUUAAUUCACCUAUCACACUCUGUUAAAAACACAUAGAAUCAUCAAUAAAAACUCAAUAUAACUUUCUUUGGGUCUUAAAGCAGGAGAAUCCAAAGUAAAUCCUGAACAAAACCUAAACACAGCCAUCUAACUCAUUACCUUAAAAGACAUUCUGUUUAUUAGUCUGAUUAGGAAUGAUGGCACUGGUUGUAUUUUAGCCAAGACAGUUUAGCAUGGAGCUAUUCCUUGGUGCAGUUCAGGAUAUGAACACAGGUACAGUCAUUCUUUGAAGGUGACACUGUUCUGUAUAUUCCCUAUAGGCAGCUGGAGAGAUCUGUGUGACACAAGAUGCUUUUGUACGGGUUCCCAUGAAUCUUCUGCUCUUGUUUGUGUGACAUGGAACAAAUAACUUCUUUGCCACCACUUUGCCUUAGAUAACUGUGUGUGUGUGUGCCAGUUUGAACUCUGACACCACAUUUUCCUUCUAUGCAAUCAUGCCUGUCUGAUAAUCUUGCAUUGCUUUCCUCUGAGCUUUAGUGGGUCCUAGUUGCACACUGGCCUUUCUGUGCUGUUUUUCAAUUUGCCUAAUAAUAGCAGUUACCCUGAUUGUAAUUUAUGUAACUUUAAACAGGAUCACACUGUACCCCCUGCCUGCCUUAUUUGCUUACUGAGCACAGGACAGAGGCAAUAUACAACUCUGGGUUCACACACAAGCUGAGAUGAGAAGAGGAAUGAGCCAUAUAUUGGGGAAAAUCAUAGUUUGUAGGUAUAAUUAUAUAGUGCUUUUCUCCCUCAAAGUAUUUUUCUAGCCUUGAAUUCAUUUUAUCUUCAUUAUCCCUGUGAAGUAGGUGGGACAAGUAUAAGGGGAAGAGGGGUGCUGAAUUUUUAGGCCAAAGACUGAUAUUAAUACAAAUCACUCACUAACUGUAGAGCCUUGGGCAUUAUCAGUGAACUACUCUGAGAUUUACUGUCUUCAUCUGUUUAAUGAGUAGAAUGUCCGUGAUGCCUACCUCACAGGGUUGUUGUGAGGGUCAAAUGAGAAUGUAUGUGAAAGAUUUGUAAAUGGUAAAGCACUAUAUUCUUGUUUGUUAGUCCUUUUUCCUUUCUUUGGGUAGACCUACAGUCAGAUGUUUUGUUUUAUGGAUCACUUAUUUUCCUUACUGGUAGACUGUCGUUUUAUAGACAUAUUCCUAUUUCAUAUAUUCUCUCCCUGUUGUUAGAGAACCUAUCUUUGUUUUUGGUCAAAACACACAUAGAAAACAAAAUGAUCCAAUGAAAACUGGUUUAACUAGCAAAAGCCUUGGCACCUGUUGGAGACUAUGACCAAGCCAAUAAAAAGGGCAUUUAAAUCAGCCCUGUUAGUAGGAAUGUGGCUAUGGCUGGUGCCUCUUCUAGUCACAAGUUUGUUUUUGGAGGGGGUCCAGAAGAUCAUUCCCUUGCAUAGAUUUCUCUUUUACCAAUUUGAGUGCCUCCUACAUGGGCAGCAGUGGACUAAGUGCUGGGUGUGAUAAAGAGGAAUGACUUAAUUAUGAGACUGUAUAUAAUCAAAUACAGUGUGGGUUAGGACCUGUGGCAGACCAUUAUAAUAAAGCAUGGCCCCGUGAGGGUUUUGAAAGAGAGAGAGACUUGGCUUCCUUAGUUGGUAUGAUAGUUUCUUGGUAGAUACAGGUUGAAAAUUUUUUGUGGCAGCCAAUCCUCAUGGGCUUUUUACUCAUUUGAUUAGUAUUAAUAUUUAUGUCAGUAAGCCAGGUGACUGUGACUGUCUUUGGUACCAUCCUUUUUGAACAGAAAGGCAACAUGUGGGUUGGAUAAUCACACUUUUAGGUGAAACUGACUUGCUUAAACUGUAACAGUCAGUGCUAUUUAAGAAUUCAGGAUAAGCUUAGCCUCUAGAGGUCCUCUUCAACAUUUCUGUCAAGGAUUUGGAUGAAUACAACAAGAUGCUCCAUGGAAGAGAAAAUGGAUAAAUGGAUCCCACCAGUUAAGCUCCUAUUAUGCUUCAGCUGCUUUGUCUAUAAAAUAUCGACUUCACAUCUUGCCUAUCUCACAAGUUGGUUGUAAGAAUCAAAUUAAAUAUAAUGGAUGUAAAAGUG